rnacentral:rRNA from 1 species
AUUGAACGCUGGCGGCAGGCUUAACACAUGCAAGUCGAGCGGAGUGAUGGUGCUUGCACUAUCACUUAGCGGCGGACGGGUGAGUAAUGCUUAGGAAUCUGCCUAUUAGUGGGGGACAACAUAUCGAAAGGGAUGCUAAUACCGCAUACGUCCUACGGGAGAAAGCAGGGGAUCACUUGUGACCCUGCGCUAAUAGAUGAGUCUACGUCGGAUUAGCUAGUUGGUGGGGUAAAGGCCUACCAAGGCGACGAUCUGUAGCGGGUCUGAGAGGUUGCGCCGCCCGACAGGGACUGACACACGGCACAGUCUCCUCCGGGAGUCAACACUAGGAAGUGUUGAUCAAUGGGGGGGACCGUGAUUCAGCCAUUCCGCGUGUGUGACGAAGGCCUUAUGGUUGUGAAGCACUCUAAGCGAGGAGUAGGGUCUUUGGGUUACUACCGAAGAUGAGUUGGCGUUACUCGCAGAAUAAGCACCGGGUACUUCUGUGCCAGCAGCCGCGGUAA